rnacentral:rRNA from 1 species
UACGUAGGGUGCGAGCGUUGUUCGGAAUUACUGGGCGUAAAGCGCUUGUAGGCGGUUUGUCGCGUCUGCUGUGAAAACUGGAGGCUCAACCUCCAGCCUGCAGUGGGUACGGGCAGACUCGAGUGCGGUAGGGGAGAUUGGAAUUCCUGGUGUAGCGGUGGAAUGCGCAGAUAUCAGGAGGAACACCGAUGGCGAAGGCAGAUCUCUGGGCCGUAACUGACGCUGAGGAGCGAAAGCAUGGGGAGCGAACAGG